UACGAAGGGGGCGAGCGUUGUUCGGAAUUACUGGGCGUAAAGGGCGCGUAGGCGGCCGAUCAAGUCAGAUGUGAAAGUCCUGGGCUUAACCUGGGGACUGCAUUUGAUACUGAUUGGCUUGAAUUCGGGAGAGGAUAGCGGAAUUCCCAGUGUAGAGGUGAAAUUCGUAGAUAUUGGGAAGAACACCGGUGGCGAAGGCGGCUAUCUGGACCGACAUUGACGCUGAGGCGCGAAAAGCGUGGGGAGCAAACAGG
rnacentral:rRNA from 1 species